GUUUUAAAAAAAAAUUGUGGUGUAGUUGGUUAUCACAUCUAUCUAACACACAGAAGGUCUCCAGUUUGAAUCUGGACAAAGGCA